rnacentral:rRNA from 1 species
AGGCAGCAGUGGGGAAUAUUGCACAAUGGGCGAAAGCCUGAUGCAGCGACGCCGCGUGAGGGAUGAAGGCCUUCGGGUUGUAAACCUCUUUCAGCAGGGAAGAAGCGAAAGUGACGGUACCUGCAGAAGAAGCGCCGGCUAACUUCGUGCCAGCAGCCGCGGUAAUACGAGGGGCGCAAGUGUUGUUCGGAAUCACUGGGCGUAAAGGGAGCGUAGGCGGGCUUUUAAGUUAGGUGUUUAACCCCGGGGCCCAACCCCGGACCGGCACCUAAAACUGGGAGUCUUGAAUAGUGGAGAGGUCAGUGGAAUUGGGGGUGUAGCGGUGGAAUGCGUAGAGAUCCCCAAGAACACCAGUUGCGAAGGCGGCUGACUGGACACAUAUUGACGCUGAGGCUCGAAAGCAUGGGGAGCAAACAGGAUUAGAUACCCUGGUAG